rnacentral:rRNA from 1 species
AACGGGUUGAAGCUGGCUUUCAAAAGAGAGCAUGUGCACGCCUGACUCAAUCCACUCUCAAACCUCUGUGCACUUACUGUAGGCUUAGGUGAUAGAAGGACUUGUAAAAGUUCUGAUAGAGCCUGGUCUAUGCUUUUACAAACGCUUCAGUCUAAGAAUGUAAACUCGCGUUUAACGCAAUAAAUACAACUUUCAGCAACGGAUCUCUUGGCUCUCGCAUCGAUGAAGAACGCAGCGAAAUGCGAUAAGUAAUGUGAAUUGCAGAAUUCAGUGAAUCAUCGAAUCUUUGAACGCACCUUGCGCUCCUUGGUAUUCCGAGGAGCAUGCCUGUUUGAGUGUCAUGGUAUUCUCAACUCUUCAAAGCUUUUGCAACGAAAAGUUGGAUGUGGAGGCUGUGUCGGCUUGCGAAAGUUGACUCCUCUUAAAUGCAUUAGUGUGAACCUUUAUGGAUCGCCAUCAGUGUGAUAAUGUCUACGCUGUGACGUUGAAGUAUCUUUGGUGUUCAUGCUUCUAACACUGUCUCUUCACGAGACAACUCUUGACAAUCUGACCUCAAAUCAGGUAGGACUACCCGCUGAACUUAAGCAUAUCAAUAAGCGGAGGAAAAGAAACUAACAAGGAUUCCCCUAGUAACUGCGAGUGAAGCGGGAAAAGCUCAAAUUUAAAAUCUGGCAGUCUUUGGCUGUCCGAGUUGUAAUCUGGAGAAGUGUUUUCCGCGCUGGACCGUGUACAAGUCUCUUGGAAUAGAGCGUCAUAGAGGGUGAGAAUCCCGUCUUUGACACGGACUACCAGUGCUUUGUGAUACGCUCUCAAAGAGU